GACGAGAGGCCCGAGCGUUAAUCGGAAUCACUGGGCUUAAAGGGUGCGCAGGCGGACCGGUAAGCGUCCUGUGAAAUACCACGGCUCAACCGUGGAAUUGCGGGGCGAACUGUCGGUCUUGAGGAAGGUAGAGGUCAUCGGAACGUGCGGUGGAGCGGUGAAAUGCGUAGAUAUCGAACGGAACGCCGAAGGAGAAGUCAGAUGACUGGUCCUUUCCUGACGCUCAUGCACGAAAGCGUGGGGAUCAAACAGG
rnacentral:rRNA from 1 species